UGGAUUACAAUGCACCACCUCGGGGUCCGCACCACAUUUAAAUAGAUGACACCUUGCCCAAUCCUUUCUCUAUGUGGAUACGAGGAAGCCAAGCUCAAUUAUAGAGGACACUGCAGUCCAUACAAUAAAUUAGGUGGCUACAGGUCAGAGGUGAAGUAUGAACAAGUGCAAUGGAAUCGAGGUGAUUGAAAAAGCAAGACUAACGUCCUGAGAAAAUACAUCUUCCAAGCUAGAGCAACAUGUAAUUUUUUUUCCUGUUAUCUGUGUAAUGUGACUUUGUUGGGUUAAACCACCAAAAGCAAUUUUUUUUAAAGUUUCCUUUUAAAUUUGAUCCUCCUCUUUAUCAUCCAAAUGAUUCUGUCUACCAUAAUUCAGUAAUUUCUUCUCCCUUCCUUCCUUCCUUUCUUCCUUCCUUCCUUUCUCCCUCCCUCCCUUCCUUCCUUCCAUUUUUCACCCAGCUUUACUGAUGUACAAUUUACGUACAAUAAAAUUCACUCAUUUCAAG
rnacentral:lncRNA from 1 species